rnacentral:rRNA from 1 species
AUUGAACGCUGGCGGCAGGCCUAACACAUGCAAGUCGAACGGUAACAGGAAGAAGCUUGCUUCUUUGCUGACGAGUGGCGGACGGGUGAGUAAUGUCUGGGAAACUGCCUGAUGGAGGGGGAUAACUACUGGAAACGGUAGCUAAUACCGCAUAACGUCGCAAGACCAAAGAGGGGGACCUUCGGGCCUCUUGCCAUCGGAUGUGCCCAGAUGGGAUUAGCUAGUAGGUGGGGUAACGGCUCACCUAGGCGACGAUCCCUAGCUGGUCUGAGAGGAUGACCAGCCACACUGGAACUGAGACACGGUCCAGACUCCUACGGGAGGCAGCAGUGGGGAAUAUUGCACAAUGGGCGAAAGCCUGAUGCAGCAAUGCCGCGUGUAUGAAGAAGGCCUUCGGGUUGUAAAGUACUUUCAGCGGGGAGGAAGGGAGUAAAGUUAAUACCUUUGCUCAUUGACGUUACCCGCAGAAGAAGCACCGGCUAACUCCGUG